UACAGAGGUCUCAAGCGUUGUUCGGAUUCAUUGGGCGUAAAGGGUGCGUAGGUGGCGCCAUAAGUCGGGUGUGAAAUUUCGGAGCUUAACUCCGAAACUGCAUUCGAUACUGUGGUGCUUGAGGACUGGAGAGGAGACUGGAAUUUACGGUGUAGCAGUGAAAUGCGUAGAGAUCGUAAGGAAGACCAGUGGCGAAGGCGGGUCUCUGGACAGUUCCUGACGCUGAGGCACGAAGGCCAGGGGAGCAAACGGG
rnacentral:rRNA from 1 species